GCGACAUUCACUCGUCGGCCCAGGGACCACCGGUCUCGGAACGCCGACAAUUAUUGUCUUGGUUCAUAUUGCAUAACCAUCGGAGCAAUGAAAGCCUCACCCAUUUUUGGAUUGUCUAGAUUGGUUUGACGCUGAAGAAGCUAUUUGAAGAGGGUGUAGUGAAGCGACGAGAUCUGUUUAUCACCUCUAAGUUGUGGUAUGCUCAAAUCUCUGGUGAUAUUCCAAUAUUUAUGUCUCAUGCAUCUCAUUUUGGAAAAACUCGUACGAAAAGCAUAUUUCAGGUGGAAUUUGGUCUUCAGUGCAUAUACACCUGCAAUUUGUUGUUUCUAUGUGAAUUUUUUGUUUGAGUGUGACCAUCAACAAUUUGUGGCGACGUAUAGCUGUCCCAUGCACUAUGGAGAUUUUUCAUGGGAGACUCACUGAAGCAGAUGCACACAGAUACUUGUUAGGCAAAGAGAAGAGCUGAAGAUAGGAUUAGCUUCUAUCUAUAUUGCAGAGUUUGCUGGUACCAGGAAACACAAAAGAAAUACAAUACUCCUAUCUAGCACCUGUCUAGAUCUCCUUCCAGAAAGAAACCAUAGGCUAAAUGAUGGGGCCACCAGCAUAGCAUGAGUAUACAAUGAGAGCAGAUCAUAACCACCAGCAUUAUAGCUGAUUUUAAAAAGUAAGUGUUACUUUGAAAGUUUCUCCUUUUUAGGGUCACAAAUGAUUGGAUUUUUUUGGUUAUAUACCAUUUGUUUGCUUGCAUUAUAGUUGCUUUUUUGUGGUUUGAAUCUAACAGGAUUUUUCCUACUUUUGUUGUAUUGUUUAUUUUUUAGAAAAAAACACAGUAAAAAUACGGACCUCCAGUUUAUAAACACUCGACAUGUAGACUAGCGAGAUAUAAUAUAGAUUAAACAACAGUCAAUAAAUGAUAUUAGGAAGAAGCUUGUGUAGCAUCGGUGGCCCUAUGGGGGCAUGCUAUGUUCACAAUGUAUCAGUGGCCUUGUCAGUUUUAUUUUGAUCCCCUCAAGGCCUUGCAACCAUUUCCCAAGCCACAAUAUCCAAGAGAUGGCAAUGUCACUCAAAGAAGCAGCUGUUCUUAGUAUGUGAUUUAGGAAUUCAAUGAAUUAUAUCUAUGUGUGGUUACACAAGUCCUAUGAUGACAAUCUGUAACAUGUGUAUGCUUGUAUUUGAACCUGAAACCUGUGUAGGCUGGUGUGAGAUCUGUUUGUGGUAUUUUUGGCAACCUGAAACCUAUUUUCUA